rnacentral:antisense_RNA from 1 species
AUUACAUGUUAUUCUUAACACCUGCCACUUCUCUCUUCCCACCUCUAUCUGCCUUAUUGAACUUCAUCUUUCCUUCAUUCUCUUCAACUUCCACUUCUUCUUGUAUGGUCCUGUUGAUGCCAUCUUGUUUCCGUCCCCAGACUCAUCAUCUUUACCCUCUGUCAACUGAGUUCCCACCCUGGUUCUCUCUCAAGAUCUUCCUCUCAUAGCUUUCACCCUUGGUAAACAAUGAGGACACAUCUCAAAAAGAAUGAUGUAAUUUAAUUGCCUUGAGUUGGCUGGGCCAUCAUCUAUUAUAAAGUGCUCUUAAAAUUAAAGCUAAUUUAAUUCUGAAGAACGAAGGAUUAAGAAGUUAAGAGCUGGGGUUCUUACAAUAUGGCUUGCAGACUGCAAGUGUGAACUGAGGAGGUCCCCAAAGUCACUUCUUACUAAGUGAAAGCGGUGUAAAUGGCUCUUAUCUGAACCACAAUGAAUUCACAUAUUCAAGUUGGCUUCUUCGGAAAUUUCAGGCCACAAAUGGCAGUGAUGCGACCAGGAGCAGUAACAUGAUUACAAGUUGCAAUUUAGGAAGGGUGCUCCAUCAUCAUUUCAUGAUUCUCACUACAGCCCAGACAGGCGGGCAGAGCAGUGUUCUUUCCCCUUUAAUGAAUGAAGAAGCUGAGCCUCAAACAGAUGAGGGGGCUUCCUGGGUUCACAUAGCUCUAAAGGGCUGAGCUGUAGUAGAUCCACGGCCACCAUGAUGAGCUAAGAGUUUCUGGAUUCGGUGCCUGCUGUUGCUCCUGGAGAUUUGUAUCCUGAUUGAAGGCUGGUUCCAUAUCUGUUCACCCAGUCACCUUUAAAAUUAAGUCCUGGGCACAAAUCAUUAGUCUGGCAAGUUACAUCACUGUGCCACUUCCAUCCGGACAGAAGGAACCCAGGUCAAGGCUGACAGGAGGAGCAGGAGCCGUCAAUGAGAGCAGACCUCAGAAGCCAACGGAGGUGAGAGGAGCACCAUCCACAGCCCCAUCCUCUGACUGCUGUGGGAGGAAGUCCACAAAAUACCACUCCUUGGAGUCA